UACGGAGGGAGCUAGCGUUGUUCGGAAAUACUGGGCGUAAAGUGCACGUAGGCGGCGCGGCAAGUCAGGGGUGAAAUCCCGGGGCUCAACCCCGGAACUGCCCUUGAAACUGCAGUGCUAGAAUCUUGGAGAGGCGAGUGGAAUUCCGAGUGUAGAGGUGAAAUUCGUAGAUAUUCGGAAGAACACCAGUGGCGAAGGCGGCUCACUGGACCGUUGUUGACGCUGAGGUGCGAAAGCGUGGGGAGCAAACAGG
rnacentral:rRNA from 1 species